AAGUCUAUCGGGAAAUCCGCGCGCUUAACGCGCGGGCGUCCGGUGGAAACUGCGUGGCUUGGGACCGGAAGACCAGAGGGGUACGUCCGGGGUAGGAGUGAAAUCCCGUAAUCCUGGACGGACCACCGGUGGCGAAAGCGCCUCUGGAAGACGGAUCCGACGGUGAGGGACGAAAGCUCGGGUCACGAACCGGAUUAGAUACCCGGGUAGUCCGAGCUGUAAACGAUGUCUGCUAGGUGUGGCACAGGCUACGAGCCUGUGCUGUGCCGUAGGGAAGCCGUGAAGCAGACCGCCUGGGAAGUACGUCCGCAAGGAUGAAACUUAAAGGAAUUGGCGGGGGAGCACUACAACCGGAGGAGCCUGCGGUUUAAUUGGACUCAACGCCGGACAUCUCACCAGCAUCGACAAUGUGCAGUGAAAGUCAGGUUGAUGACCUUACUGGAGCCAUUGAGAGGAGGUGCAUGGCCGCCGUCAGCUCGUACCGUGAGGCGUCCUGUUAAGUCAGGCAACGAGCGAGACCCGCACUCCUAAUUGCCAGCAACACCCUCGUGGUGGUUGGGUACAUUAGGAGGACUGCCAGUGCCAAACUGGAGGAAGGAACGGGCAACGGUAGGUCAGUAUGCCCCGAAUGUGCUGGGCGACACGCGGGCUACAAUGGCCGAGACAGUGGGAUGCAACCCCGAAAGGGGACGCUAAUCUCC
rnacentral:rRNA from 1 species